rnacentral:tRNA from 1 species
GGACGUGUAGAUCAAUUGGUUAGAUCAUUCGCCUGUCACGCGAAAGGUUGCGAGUUCGAGCCUCGUCACGUCCGC